GGAGUAGAAAACCGUAAACUCCUGUUGCGUCUUUGCCGUUCUUUCAGGUUUCUGAGAGGAAUCUUCUGAAAGCUAAGUCUGUAAUGGCACAAACACCUACCCACAGCAGGGGGAGGAUGUCUAAUCCAGGAGAAACCAGGUCAACAGCCCUUUCAACAACUUCCACCUGACUCCCACCGCUAUCAACAUACUUCAGGACAAGAGUUGAAACAUGUUCAAGGACUUCAUCCAAGUCCGGCCACAAUUUCUGAUUAAGCUUUGAAGUACCAUGACCUGCAUGACUGAGAACCUUCACAGGUGUCACUCAGCUCUGGGUUACACUCUGACCAUGGCUGCAUUUACUGCGUUUUGUGCACAGACUCACAGGGUCAUGCAUUGGAGCAUGCAUAGCUAAGAAAAAACGACUUCCUUUCCGAGGGUCGAAUACUUAACACAGCCAUGCCUUUAGACUUGACUGCAAGAUUUUAUGAGUUUUUCAUCGUUCAGGUGUCUUCUAUCUGUAAACCUGCAUGUAAGUAGAUCAGAUGAAUACUGUAGAAGAAACUUACCAAAAGUCCCAUGAAAACAGCCUAAAAAAAGCUGAUUUCUGCCUGUUUUUUGCAUAAUACCCAACUUCUUGUCUACAUUUCACCAUAGUUAGAAUUUACAUAACUGUAAAGUUUCAUGAGUUUUUGGCAUGUUCAGGGCUGAAAAAAAAGACUGAUUGAAAAAAAUAAUAAACUGUCUUGGGAUCUGAGUAGAGUCCUCACCCUCCAGUGCCAAGGGGCUGAAUAAAGCUUCAAGCAGCACUGAGCGAAGGUUUGAACUUGAGUGGUUUGGGUUAGGGCCUGAGAGCGGGCUAGGCAAUCAGUUUUCAAAAUAUUCAAAGGUUGGGUUUAGAUCUAAAGAUUUACAGAGAGUGAGGAUUAAGAAUAAAAAGUUCAGGGACCAUUAGGAAUAGGUUGAAGGGGGCUAGGUUUGGGGUGGGAUGGGGGGAGUUUUAGGCCAGGGCUAGUCUUGUGCUUGUGGUCAGAGUCAUGUUAGGCUUACCCCGGAUUUCCACCGUAUCUGGAACGGCUCCGAUCCAGAACAGCAGCGAUUUUCGCCAUCUGCCAAUUCCUACCAGAUUCGUUUGUGAGGUGAAUUUCGUGGUGGUGGAUUACAGACGGCGGUAAUCACGAGAACUCACAAGAACCUGUGGAUUCACAUGCAAUCGUGCGAUAACAAGUUGUCUCUAUAAAGACAGCUACAUAGGUUUACCAUAUAAGCAGUAGAUUGUGUCCUUCCAGAGGGAGGAAAUCUACUUCUAAACUUAUAAAAUCAGCAUCUCAUCCAUGGUGUCUUUGGGAUGAAAUGCUGUCUAAAAACGUUUCACUCGUCCCCGCCUGUUUGCGUAGUGUGAAAUAUGAUCCGCCUGAAACACGGAGUGUUUUAUUUUGAAAGGAGGUGGAUGUUUUAUUUUGUGUCUGUGCUCGACUUCCUUGUCAGCACAGGUUAAUCUAACCUGUGAAUUAAUCUGGCAUCCUCCGACGUCCGGAAAAAUCAGCUGUGGAGUCCGGUGAUCUGCAGCGGAAUGGAAAGAAACCGGUGGAAAUUGACACAGUAACUUGAAUGGUUACCAUCAACUGCUAUCGGCGGAUACGGCCUUUUCGUAGCCAAUCUGGAUGUGGGCAAGGGUUAAAAGGAGCUUAGAGAGAGUGUUUGCAUAAAGACUAGGUCCAGGCUCAGGGUUAGGGUUGUCUAGAAAAUCACCAAAAAAAGGAUCAAGUUUGUCAUCUACCCAAACUACUGGUUUUUUUUUUUCUGUUGGAUUCAAGGUAUGGUUUGCUUGUCUUGUUCUCUUCAUUCUUUAGGAGUUUGAUUCUGCUGAACUCUGGCAGUGAAAUGAAAAGUUUACACUGAAUAUUUUAAGAGCAAAUUGUAGAAACAGGUCUGUUUCUUUGGCGGCUCGACUGACACCUACCCUCUCACAUCAGUUUCCAAGCAUUAAAAAUUAGGGUGUAGAAAUCUGUGAUCUUGUUGCUGAUGGUAUUCUCCAAUUGUUGUUAUACAAAGGCAGCAAUAUAAAAAGGCAGACUGUUUCUUUAGGUUAAAAAAACUCAUUAUAGGAGCUUUAAGCUGCUUUAAGACUCUGAAAGAAGAGCAGAGUUGAUCUGACUGAGCUGAAAAACAAUCACACUCGCCAAAAACAUGUUUCAGCUCAAUGUUUCUCUGCAAGGAGAUAACUGCAACAAACACAAGUAAGAAAAUGUAAAAGAAACAGCUUUAAAAUGAUAGAGUAAGAAAGAAAGAAAGAAGAAAGAGUUAAAGCAGAAGUAAAUUCAGAAAACUCUCUCUCUCUCUUUUCUGUGACAAAGAGCCGAAGGACAAACUCACAGAGUCUGAGAGCAGACUGAAUAACAACGCUUUCAAACUGUUUGUGCUCAGCCUGCAUCUGAACGCCCCCUCACUUAGAUACCUGUCUCCUGGGAAACCGGUGCGCACACACACACACACGCACUGGAAAGCUAAGGAGCAAAAAAAAGAGAAAGAGAUGUGGGGCAAUUCAACUGUAUUGAGUUGAAACAGACACAGACACACACACAACUACACACACAUAUACACACAGAGCUCAGCCUCCUCUCUGCAAUGUAGCCUAAGCCAAUGAAAAGCCUCUGGUAGUGUGAUGCUGGCCAAUCAGAACGCAGCAUGCAGACACUCCCACAGGAGGGUGUGUAAAGUACUGCUGAGGUAGGAUGGAGAGUGAGGGAGUGUGUAAGGAUGUGUGGAGUGCUUUCUGCGUGGGUGUGCAUAUGUGUGUGUUUGUGCGUUUGUAUAUGUGUGUGUGGGGGGACUCCCAGCAGGUUCUGAUGUUAUGCUGAUGUUGGUCCUUUGGGGGGAACAGAGGCGGCCGAAGUCCUGACUGCUGCUCUCACCAUGAAACAAGAAAACACACACACACACACACACACACAAAUAGGCAGUUCAUGUCAGCAAAGAUUUAAUUACACUUGCACACACAGGAAUUCAAAAGCCACACACGCACACACACACACACACACAGACACACACACACCUCUGGCAGCUCUGUGAGGGCAGAGUGGUGAACGGUCAGCGGUGGAAAAUGUGUCUCCUGUGGUCAGCAGAGGAAGCUGAACUUUCCUCCAUUUUACCAUGAGCAGCAGCUUCAUUACUGAGCUGCCAAAAUGGAGGCCUGAUGGAGUCCACUGCUGAUUAAAGGGGCAGUCCACACAAACUGAUCCCAGUUGUUUGAAAAGACAGGACAGUGGACAUACCAGGGAACAGGUAGAGCGAGUAGGGGACACCAUGCAGGAAAGGAGCCACAGGUCACAGUAGGUGUGUUCCUGCUCUCUUCAUUGAUAGUAACACAGCUGUACUUGUAACAGUGCUCAUCAGUAAUCCAGCCUUGUCCUGUAGCUAAAUCAAUCAGUCUAAAAGUCUACUGCAGGAUCUAAUUGUGCAACAGCAGAAGAAAGAGAAGUGAAACAACUGAGGGAUUACACCUCAGUUACUUUUGACAGCUUUUGCUUGAACCACAAACAAGGAAUUUCUCCCACUGGCUGCUUAUAUGUGAUGCUCACAAUAAAACACUCCAGUAUCAAUGUACAUGUGCAGUGAUAUCCUAAAACUAGUUUCAUAUCUGAUUUUUAAGGAAUAUUCCAGCGUCAAAUUAAUUUAGGGUCAAACACACCAUAACACUGAGUUAGACACCCCGUCGAGAGAUAAAUGUUGCCGACCACUUGCAUCUCUAGAUAUACCAACUUUAGUAACGACUGCAGAUAGCAGUACAGAGAGCCACGUGCUCAACCAAAACGCCA
rnacentral:lncRNA from 1 species